rnacentral:rRNA from 1 species
AGGGACAGUCGGGGGCAUCAGUAUUCAAUUGUCAGAGGUGAAAUUCUUGGAUUUAUUGAAGACUAACUACUGCGAAAGCAUUUGCCAAGGAUGUUUUCAUUAAUCAGGAACGAAAGUUAGGGGAUCGAAGACGAUCAGAUACCGUCGUAGUCUUAACCAUAAACUAUGCCGACUAGGGAUCGGACGAUGUUAUUUUUUGACGCGUUCGGCACCUUACGAGAAAUCAAAGUGCUUGGGCUCCAGGGGGAGUAUGGUCGCAAGGCUGAAACUUAAAGAAAUUGACGGAAGGGCACCACCAGGGGUGGAGCCUGCGGCUUAAUUUGACUCAACACGGGGAAACUCACCAGGUCCAGACACAAUGAGGAUUGACAGAUUGAGAGCUCUUUCUUGAUUUUGUGGGUGGUGGUGCAUGGCCGUUCUUAGUUGGUGGAGUGAUUUGUCUGCUUAAUUGCGAUAACGAACGAGACCUUAACCUGCUAAAUAGCCCGUAUUGCUUUGGCAGUACGCUGGCUUCUUAGAGGGACUAUCGGCUCAAGCCGAUGGAAGUUUGAGGCAAUAACAGGUCUGUGAUGCCCUUAGAUGUUCUGAGCCGCACGCGCGCUACACUGACUGAGCCAGCGGAGUACUCCCUUGGCCGGAAGGCCCGGAGACAUCUUAUAAUUAUCCCUC